rnacentral:rRNA from 1 species
GACGUAGGGCGCAAGCGUUGUCCGGAUUUAUUGGGCGUAAAGCGUGCGCAGGCGGUUUUGUAAGUCUGUCGUGAAAUCCCCGGGCUCAACCUGGGAAUUGCGAUGGAGACUGCAAGGCUAGAGUUUGGCAGAGGGGGGUAGAAUUCCACGUGUAGCAGUGAAAUGCGUAGAGAUGUGGAGGAACACCGAUGGCGAAGGCAGCCCCCUGGGUCAAAACUGACGCUCAUGCACGAAAGCGUGGGGAGCAAACAGG